rnacentral:rRNA from 1 species
AUUGAACGCUGGCGGCAGGCCUAACACAUGCAAGUCGAGCGGAGGGGCGGACGGGUAAGUAAUGCCUAGGGAUCUGCCUGGUAGUGGGGGAUAACGUCCGGAAACGGGCGAUAAUACCGCAUACAAGCAGAUGAGCCGAGGUGGGAUUAGCUGGUUGGUGGGGUAAGGGCUUACCAAGGCGACGAUCCGUAACUGGUCUGAGAGGAUGAUCAGUCACACUGGGACUGAGACACGGCCCAGACUCCUACGGUAGGCAGCAGUGGGGAAUAUUGGACAAUGGGCGAAAGCCUGAUCCAGCCAUGCCGCGUGUGUGAAGAAGGUUUUCGGAUUGUAAAGCUCUUUUAGUUGGGAGGCGUUAAUCACACAAUAAGCACCGGCUAACUUCGUGCCAGCAGCCGCGGUAAUAC